AGGCUUAACACAUGCAAGUCGAGGGGCAGCAUGAACUUAGCUUGCUAAGUUUGAUGGCGACCGGCGCACGGGUGAGUAACACGUAUCCAACCUGCCGAUGACUCGGGGAUAGCCUUUCGAAAGAAAGAUUAAUACCCGAUGGCAUAGUUCUUCCGCAUGGUGGAACUAUUAAAGGAUUUCGGUCAUCGAUGGGGAUGCGUUCCAUUAGGUUGUUGGCGGGGUAACGGCCCACCAAGCCUUCGAUGGAUAGGGGUUCUGAGAGGAAGGUCCCCCACAUUGGAACUGAGACACGGUCCAAACUCCUACGGGAGGCAGCAGUGAGGAAUAUUGGUCAAUGGACGAGAGUCUGAACCAGCCAAGUAGCGUGAAGGAUGACUGCCCUAUGGGUUGUAAACUUCUUUUAUACGGGAAUAAAGUGAGGCACGUGUGCCUUUUUGUAUGUACCGUAUGAAUAAGGAUCGGCUAACUCCGUGCCAGCAGCCGCGGUAAUACGGAGGAUCCGAGCGUUAUCCGGAUUUAUUGGGUUUAAAGGGAGCGUAGGCGGACGCUUAAGUCAGUUGUGAAAGUUUGCGGCUCAACCGUAAAAUUGCAGUUGAUACUGGGUGUCUUGAGUACAGUAGAGGCAGGCGGAAUUCGUGGUGUAGCGGUGAAAUGCUUAGAUAUCACGAAGAACUCCGAUUGCGAAGGCAGCCUGCUGGACUGUAACUGACGCUGAUGCUCGAAA
rnacentral:rRNA from 1 species